rnacentral:tRNA from 2 species
GGGCCAUUAGCUCAGGGGAUAGAGCAACCGCCUUCUAAGCGGUCGGUCGCUGGUUCGAUCCCAGCAUGGCCCG